UACGUAGGAGGCAAGCGUUGUCCGGAAUCACUGGGCGUAAAAGCGCGUGUAGGCGGUCGGGCAAGUCGGAUGUGAAAGCCCAGGGCUCAACCCUGGAAGUGCACUCGAUACUGCUCGGCUAGAGUCCCGGAGAGGAUGGUGGAACUCUCGGUGUAGAGGUGAAAUUCGUAGAUAUCGAGAAGAACACCGGUGGCGAAGGCGGCCAUCUGGACGGUGACUGACGCUGAGACGCGAAAGCGUGGGGAGCAAACAGG
rnacentral:rRNA from 1 species